AAGAAUGUUCAAUCUGAAGACAGUGAUAGCAAACCUGUGCUUGAGGAGGUUUUUACUCAACAAGAUAAAGCAGAUGUCAACAGCUACAUUGUUACUCCAUCUGAAGUAAUAGACAAAUCAUAUGAGGAAGCUGGGAAAGAUGUUGAACCUGUGGCAGAAACGGAAAAGGCAGAACACAUAAAAGAUGAGACAUCAGGUACAAUUGAAACCAAGAAAGAAGAUAAUGUAGAAGAGAAGCAGGAUGAAGUCACUACAUUGGUUACAGAACCACUUGGAGAAUCCAAGCCAUCUGAGCCAGAAGUGAAAGGUGAUGAACCUGUUACAUUGGAGAAAACCACAGAGGAUGUUGCAAAAUCUGAUCGAAAUGUAGAGCUUCCAGCAAAGGAUGGUGAUGACACAAAGAGCUCCGAAGACCUGCCCAAAGAAGUUCCAGCUAAGACCUCUCAGAAACAAUCAACUACCAUUUUAUCAAAGGUCAAGCAUACACUUGUGAAGGCAAAGAGAGUUAUUACCGGGAAAUCUCCAAGCUCGAAAACCCCUGCCUCUGAAACCAAGGAUGAUAUUAAAGUCAAAUAGCAGGAUGCAAUCAUAUAUUAGUCAUCCUUUCUUUUGGUUUCCCUUAUUCUUGUGAUUCUUUUACUGUUUUUGUUUGUUGGUUUUG
rnacentral:lncRNA from 1 species